rnacentral:rRNA from 1 species
AAAGCUAUCGCCAAAGGAUGAGCCCGCGUUUGAUUAGCUUGUUGGUGAGGUAACGGCUCACCAAGGCUCCGAUCAAUAGCUGGUCUGAGAGGACGAUCAGCCACACUGGAACUGAGACACGGUCCAGACUCCUACGGGAGGCAGCAGUCGGGAAUAUUGGGCAAUGGGCGAAAGCCUGACCCAGCAACGCCGCGUGAAGGAUGAAGGCCCUCGGGUCGUAAACUUCUGUCGAGAGGGAAGAAUGCGUACGGGUAAAUAAUCCGUGCGUUUGACGGUACCUCCAAAGGAAGCACCGGCUAACUCCGUGCCAGCAGCCGCGGUAAUACGGAGGGUGCAAGCGUUGUUCGGAUUUAUUGGGCGUAAAGCGAGUGUAGGCGGUUUGACAAGUCGGAUGUGAAAUCCCAGGGCCCAACCCUGGAACUGCAUCCGAUACUGUCAGGCUAGAGUCCCGGAGAGGGUGGCGGAAUUCCCGGUGUAGGGGUGAAAUCCGUAGAUAUCGGGAGGAACACCAGUGGCGAAGGCGGCCACCUGGACGGUGACUGACGCUCAGACUCGAAAGCGUGGGUAGCAAACAGGAUUAGAUACCCUGGUAGUCCACGCCGUAAACGGUGAGAGCUCGUCGUAGUGGGUAUUGACCCCUGCUGUGACCAAGUUAACGCAUGAAGCUCUCCGCCUGGGAAGUACGGUCGCAAGACUAAAACUCAAAGAAAUUGAC